rnacentral:lncRNA from 1 species
ACCAAAAAUAAAGGCACAACACAAGUUUUCAAAGUUAUGAGCAUUUCAAAUAAAUUUUCCAAACCAUAACAAAAGAUUUCAUGAAAUUCUUAAUCACCAUGGAAACCAACAUGUGCCAAGCUUAAACAAGCUUAAAAACUACUUCUAAACACUUCCCUAGAACCACAAACUUAUUCUAGAAAAAUUUACUCAAGAACAAAGUCAUGUCAAUCUCUAAACUAUUCUAGGAAUCAUGACUUUUAGCUAAACAAAAGCAUGGAGAAGGUGAGUUACCUUAAGAGGAGUGAUUUCCUUGCAAGAUCCUAGUUCCAAAGAGACAAAUCCUAGCUUGAAUGGAGGAGAAAUGAAAAUUUCAAUGGUGAGGGUGAGUGAGAGAGG